GUUUCCGAAAGCCCUCCUACUUACUGUCAAGUGAACAAAGUUAGGGGCCCACGUGAUCCUCCGAGCCAAUGGCCACCCGGCCUGCGAUUCCCGGAUAAGGAAAUCUGCUCACCCGGACCCUACUCCAGCCAAAGAGGGUCCCAUCUCCUCCCCAGGGUGAGUGGGAGCUCACGCACCGGGUGUCUGUGUGGGAAGUUAAGUGACUGGAGGACCAGGGGGCUUCUUCUUGAAAGGGGCACCCACUAGGCCUAACCUCGGAGAAACAUCUUGACUUCCCGCACUAAAGAUAGAAGCUGGAAUAAAACAAAACCUGCAAGUUUCGAAAACAAAUUGAGUAGUAAUUUGCUAAUUCCAGAUUCAUCAAAGCAAUGCUAACCGAGGCGCCAAGAGUUGUAAUUGCUGCUCAAGCUGCUGCCUCUGCUUGUGUGGCCGAGAGAAAUUUCACAUCCUUGUGAUCUAAGGAAAGGAGCCCUCGCUGUGACAUCCCCACCAGCGACACACGCAUAAGAACACCCAUGGCAACCUCAUAUUUUCAGGGCGUCUUGUCCUGAACCCAAUGAAAUAGCAACCUCCGCAUCCAUUUGAAAAGCAAAUUUCCUUUGCCUUUGCACACUGUAGGCAACAGUAAUCCUCCCCCCACCCCCAUGAUUUCCAAUAAAGCCCCCUAGAUCCUUAAGAGAAAAUAAGUAGGUUUGGACUUAAGAAUAAAUUUUAAAACACCAGCAAUAUUAAACUCUUUAGUGAAUAAGGACCUAAGUGUCCAAGGGCAGGCAUGGAGGACACCUCAGGUAGAUGAGAUUUCUCCCUAACCAGUUGGGGGGGGGGGAGAGAAGGAAGGAGUCUUCUUGAAACCAGUCACUGGAUUGUCCUCAUUUAGAAAAUAAUCUAUUUUUCUUCUGAAAAAAAAAAGAGCGGAGUGUUUAUGUCAACUACAUAUUCCCCUAGAUACGAAUUUGUGACCACAAAAUUCCUUACACAAAUUCGGAUCUACAGGGUAUAUACAGAAGACAGACAGGUCUUCUUGGCCCAGGAAAUUUCCAGUUCUCUUACUUUCGGUGAGUUCUUCUUUUGGGGUGUAGUUUGAAUGCUUUCAUUUUAUUUCGUUUUGUUUUAAUUUUUAUCUCUGGGAGCACAAAAGACAUCACUGUGGGUCCAUUCUUAAAAUUACAAGGUUUUCAACUCUCCUAACAAAAAUAAAAAAUAAAAGCAGCCAUUGGGCAAAGGGACUCGAACCUCGUGGCUGCCGCGCGACUUUCGGUGGCGCAUGAAUUAUGAGAUGUAAACAUUAGCUAAGUACAAAAGGAGGAAGGGUCAUCCUGAGGCUGCCUCGAAGUCAGAAUCCGGCCUUUCUGGGUGCCCUUAGUCCCUCCCCUCCCCCUGUGACUUUUUUUUGUAAGGAAAAAAAAAAAAACAAAACAAAACCUCAAAUUGGCUCCU